UAGUAUCUCUUUCCUUCUCUUGGCAGGGCCAAGGGUCAGAAUAGUAAGGCUGAGGAACUAGCAUUAGCAGCCAGCCCAGAGACAGAAAAUACUGAAUAAGGGUGAAAUUAGUUACCUUCAGGGGAGCUUAGCAAAGGGAGACAUGUAUUGAAAAGAAUGGACCCUUCUAACAGGGAAAGUACUCAAGCCAUGCCGAGGGGAAAGCUAGAGCAGACCACAUAAUAAGGGAUUGUUUUGAAGUUGUGGUUUGAAUGACUUACUGAAGGGAAGAGGGAUUUGUUUUGAGUUGAUUCUAGGGCUUAAUGAGCAAUGUCACAUCAUAGUGGUUUUCAAACCAAGCUUAAGUUUUAGUUUCCAAGCAACAUUCUUCUGGAAAAGGGUCCAAGGCCCUUGUAGAAAUAGAUGAUUCCAGGGCUGAGAGGAAGACAGACAGCACUAGGUGAGUCUGAAACAUCGAUUUGGACCAGAAACCAAUGGCUGGAGUAUGAUGAGCAUUCCUGACUACUACACUCCAUCAUCCCGAAGCACUCACACGAGGGAAGGCAGGCAUAGCCCAAGCCAUACAUUUCUUUCCUGAGGAUGAAUGUGGAUGGUGCUGGAGACUGCAGCCUUACUGAAUGACACUGCUACCUUCUACCCACAUGACCCGACUGAUGACUGAGAAAUAGGGACGUGAACACCAGAGCUGGAUCUGAACUGAAACCUGUCUUCCUGAAGGCUGGCUCUUACAGUACCAGAAGGCAUCAUGCAAGCUUCCAGAGCAGAAACACAACCAAUAGUCCUACUCACCCAAGGCCUGUGAACCACAACAAGAACCAGCACAGCUCCACAACCCUCCCUAAGGGCAUACAAAACCUAGUGGAUGACAAGCUUCCUGGACCACAGUGUCCCCCUGUCCUGGGCCACAGUGUCUGUCUGUGAUCGUCUACCCUUGCCCUAUCAAAUGGCAGAUGGUUCUGUAGUCAAAGCAUCAGCCACCAUCUGCCACGUGCACAUGUGAAGAGCUAUGGGGCCACGGCUCCAGUGAGCACACACCCCUCAGCCACACAGAAGCUUGUGAGUCAAGUGGGAGGAAGAGAGAGGCUCCUGUUUAGGGGGCUCACCUGCCUCCAGCCCCGCCUCCCUUGGGCGCUCACUCACACAUGCUCACACAGCAGGAGCAGCAGUUUGGUGCCCCACCUCCAGCUCAUCAGCUGCCACAGCCAGUAUUUCUUUCUCUAUUA